rnacentral:rRNA from 1 species
UACGUAGGGUGCGAGCGUUAAUCGGAAUUACUGGGCGUAAAGCGUGCGCAGGCGGUUUUGUAAGCCAGAUGUGAAAGCCCCGGGCUUAACCUGGGAAUGGCAUUUGGGACUGCAAGGCUUGAGUGCGGCAGAGGAGACUGGAAUUCCUGGUGUAGCAGUGAAAUGCGUAGAUAUCGGGAGGAACAUCAGUGGCGAAGGCGGCCCUCUGGUCCAGUACUGACACUCAAGUGCGAAAGCGUGGGGAGCAAACAGG